rnacentral:rRNA from 1 species
GCGACAGGCCUAACACAUGCAAGCGAGGGGCAGCACAAGGAGCAAUCUGAGGUGGCGACCGGCGCACGGGUGAGUAACACGUAUGCAACCUGCCUGUAAGCGGGGAAUAACCCGUUGAAAGACGGACUAAUACCGCAUAAUACUAAAUUACUGCAUGGUAAUUUAUUUAAACAUUUAUGGCUUACAGAUGGGCAUGCGCAUGAUUAGCUAGUUGGAGAGGUAACGGCUCCCCAAGGCAACGAUCAUUAGGGGUUCUGAGAGGAAGGUCCCCUACACUGGUACUGAGACACGGACCAGACUCCUACGGGAGGCAGCAGUGAGGAAUAUUGGUCAAUGGACGAGAGUCUGAACCAGCCAAGUCGCGUGCAGGAAGAAUGUUCCCUAUGGAUUGUAAACUGCUUUUGCAGGGGAAUAAAGUGCAUCACGUGUGAUGUUUUGUAUGUACUCUGCGAAUAAGGAUCGGCUAACUCCGUGCCAGCCGCUGC